AGCAGCCGCGGUAAUUCCAGCUCCAAUAGCGUAUAUUAAAGUUGUUGCAGUUAAAAAGCUCGUAGUUGAAUUUCGAGAUCAAAUUGUUGGUCGUGCCUCGGUACGUACUGGCAUUAUUGAUUUCUCCUUUCUGAAGAACCUUGAUGUCAUUAAUUUGGUGUCUUGGGGAAUCAGGACCGUUACUUUGAAAAAAUUAGAGUGUUUAAAGCAGGCUCACGCUUGAAUACAUUAGCAUGGAAUAAUGAAAUAGGACGUUUGAUUCUAUUUUGUUGGUUUCUAGGAUCGACGUAAUGAUUAAUAGGGAUAGUUGGGGGCAUUAGUAUUCAAUUGUCAGAGGUGAAAUUCUUGGAUUUAUUGAAGACUAACUACUGCGAAAGCAUUUGCCAAGGAUGUUUUCAUUAAUCAAGAACGAAAGUUAGGGGAUCGAAGACGAUCAGAUACCGUCGUAGU
rnacentral:rRNA from 1 species